rnacentral:rRNA from 1 species
CGUAGGUGGCGAGCGUUGUCCGGAAUUACUGGGUGUAAAGGGCGUGUAGGCGGGGAUGUAAGUCAGAUGUGAAAUUCCAUGGCUCAACUGUGGGGCUGCAUCUGAAACUGCGUCUCUUGAGUGCUGGAGAGGGAAGCGGAAUUCCUAGUGUAGCGGUGAAAUGCGUAGAUAUUAGGAGGAACACCAGUGGCGAAGGCGGCUUUCUGGACAGUAACUGACGCUGAGGCGCGAAAGCGUGGGGAGCAAACAGGAUUAGAUACCCUGGUAGUCCACGCUGUAAACGAUGGAUACUAGGUGUAGGAGGUAUCGACCCCUUCUGUGCCGCAGUUAACACAAUAAGUAUCCCACCUGGGGAGUACGGCCGCAAGGUUG